ACGUCUCCUUUUUUGCAUCUAUGAAUGUCCCGAGCGCUCUCUUUUCCCUUUCUUCUCCCUCGUGCUUUCCUUUCUUCGCUGCCGCCACUCCAUCCUAGCCGCCUCCUCUCCUCGCGCCGCCGUCGCCGCCGCUUCCACCCUCCCUCUGGGCCGCCUCGUCUCCUCCGCCUCCGCCUCCACCACCUCCUCCUCCCCUUCCUCUCCCCCUCCCGUGCCUCCGCACCUGACUAGAACGGCCAGACCACGUGACGUGGACGAGGAGACGACAGCUCGGGAGGCAGGCUCCUUCCAUGGCGGCACCCCAACCUGCCGGAUUUCCCUCCUCGUCAGCCCAGCGGAGAGGAGCGGUGGAUCCGCCUCCUCUUGGACCUAGCGCCCGAUCCGAGGUGUGCGGGCGCGGACGAGCUUCCCCCGCCGGCCCGCGGCAGCGGCGACCUACAAGCAAAGGGCAAGGGCGAGGCGACGGCAGAGAGAGAGAAGAUGAGAGGGAGAAGAAUGAAGGAGAGGAGGGAGAAAGAGAGAGAGGAAAGAGGAGAAGGAGGCGCGGCGUCGGAUGGGAGAGGGUCACCGCCGGUCGAGGCCUGCGCGUGGCGGUUCGAUGUGAUCCUCGCCCCUUCUCUUCCUCGUCCCGCCGGCCUCAUUCUCUGUUACUCUCCCGUUGGCCGUGGCGCCAGGUCGCGGCGGAGGAUCUGGAGCUGAGCCCAAGCAGUUGAGGUUGAGGAAGACGGAGGUGAGGGAAGCAGCAACAAGACUGCUGGCUGGUGACGGGUCAGCGGCCACGAGAGGAGGGGGAAGGGGGACGACGUCAUGCUUUCUCGCCACCUGCACGUCCUCUUCCCACAGUCCGCUGCUCCUUGUCUGCGCCGUUUCAACUCCAGCUGCAACAGACAGGGAGGCAGAAGAGAGGACAUGCUGAAGAAUGAAGGUGGACAAACCAGGUGCACAUGAACAGCAAGGCAUGUUUGGCGUCGUACUUGACCGUGCUGCAGAACAACAUCUUGUGGUUCUACCCAAGGGUUGACGCCGAGCACCGGGGCGUACUGCAGGAGUAGCGCCCUGCGUCCUUUGUCAACGUCCAUAGCAUCAAGGACCUCCUCACGCCCCUGUGCAGAUGGCGCUCGCUCGUGAUCACAGGAAACUGAACGACGCAUAUGUGCCCGUUGUCUGUCAGCGCCGACAAGGUUGGUUCUAUGUUAAGGCCCUGCGUCCUCACGUAAGAGGGCAUGAUUCAUAAGCAAACAAAUACUUCAGGCACGAUGGAUAUUGAUGUAGACUACAUCAAAGUGCUGCAGGACCAAAUUGAGAAAAAUUGUGGUGGUGAUGAUUGAUCUGUAUUUUUUUGAAGGGGGUCAUUGGACCCCACUGUAGCAUAGGUGAUAAUUCCUCACCCUAUAUUUGCGUGUAGUAGCCUCAAACAUCAACUUUCUUAUGAUUUUUCUCUAGCAUGUUGCUCGCUGGUUUUGACUAUUGAUUUUGGUAGAUGGUGCCCAGUUUAGGACAUGAUCCAACUCUCAGUUACAUACAUGGACCUUCUCUUUCUACAUCUCUAUGGUAGUAAACUUUCUUACUUUAGAGACGGAUCAGAAGGCGUUUCUUUUGCUUUUGGUGUUGAGGAUGCACCAAACUAUGCACAAAAUGAAGUGCCGAUGUUCUGUUUUCCUGCGGUUGUCGCCACUGUACUUUGUUCCUUGCAUGAACAAAAGAGGAUUAAUGAAACAACGUUCGCGCUGAAGAAGAAAAAGGAUAUGUUGCCCUUUAUAUUAUACUUGGGCGAUGGAUUCCUUCAGAUCUACAAAUUCCUCGAGCAAAGUUUGCAAUGCUUUUGUGAAUGUUUCAAAUUUUGUUUUUGUCUUUCCUUGUGGAUUGUCCAUCUGAACUAUAUGUAUCAAUGUAAACAACCUUACCUUUCCUUCUCUUUCAAUCGGUUUAAGGUACUCAUAUAUAAUGGUCACCAAUGCCCUACAAUAUGCACAUAAUUCACAAUUCUAAUUGGCUUCUUGCGCCAUGGGCGCAACUGGUUCUUUCAUUACUUUGGAACAGAAAAGUAAUAUGAAACAAAUCCAUACAAUAUGUCUUUGGUGAGACCAUGAACAACAAUCCACCCAGAUGUUGGUCCUUCUUGUGCCCAGCUGCAGCCACCGCCUAAUCUAACAAUGUUCUGUUCUUUGCUCGAGGCGCAAUGGUAUACAUUUGUUGGCAUGUCAGUUCCUUAGGUGGAUCCUCAGUAGAUCGAGCCGCCUCACCCCCUUGCAAGCAAACCUUGACCAUGUCUGCUGGCACAUGCAGCGAUCACUCUACCUGAGUUCCAUGACUGCAUAUCUUAGUCACAAUAAGCUAAAUGACCAGAGCUAUUUAUAUGAUGCAUCUCUAUCUAUGUAUCCUGCUUUUUCAAAGCAAUGUAAAUGGUUUGAAUUGAUCUUAUCAUGAACUGAUCUCAUGCCUUUGUUUUGGCCUAUAAAUGUAACAUGCAAUGUAAUAUAUAAUGCUAUGUAUCGACAACAUGCUGAAAUAUCUAUUUUUGCUUCAA